UCCAACCCCCCGAUGGGGUUCAGCAAAGCAUUUUCGAAGGCAAGGCAAAGGAGGGGAGUCCCAGGGUAUGUGAUCAGCUCCUAUACAAGUCUCAGAUUGGUGGAUGGUAAGGUAAAGUAAAAAGUGAUGCAUCUGGAGAGCAGGGCAGAAAAUAUGGAGUCAUCUGGGACUAGAAUUGGGAAAACUGUGCACUGUUACUAAUAGAGAAGAGAUACCCGUAGUGUACUGAAUGUAAAAGUGGGCUUCAAGUCAGAAGAGCACAGGGCUGUUUUCCAUGAUAAUCACCAUGAAAGCUUUUGGGAUAAUAGAAGAGAAUGACAUCUCCAAAUAUGAUGGUACCUAAAAUGAAUGGAUGAUCCUUAUCAGGGAUUACUGAAAGACUGAAGAUUGAAGAGUAGCAAAGGAUAUUUUGUCAUGUGUGAUAGUAACGCACCUGAUUUCUGAGUAAAACAUGGCAAUGUAAGGAUAUUCAUUCUGUCAGCAACAAUGCAGAGGACUCAUUUGAUUCUCAGGCCUUCUCCACCUUGAGAAGCUGGAUCACAAGCGCUAAAGCCAUUUCUGCUUCCCUGUGUACAUGUUCCUGGCUGGUUAGAUGGCUGAUAAAGUACAGUAAGCCCUUAUCCUCAGAAGGUGCACUGCUCAAAACCUGAUGUGAAUGAAAUACGCCAGACAGAGAAAGUCAGAGACUCAUGUUCAAUGGUCCACGUUCAAAUAUUAUCCGCACAAGAUUUCCCAUCUCACUGCCUGGGAGGUAUUUGAAGUUCAAAGAUACCAAAAAUGUGACAAAACAGAAAACAGCUCUAAAACAGAAACACAGAAGAAUUAGUAGGUGUUUUCUGGAUGAGUCAGUAAGUUUCAGACUUUCUCUACAUUUAUUUAAUUUGUUGGCAAUUCAGUUUUUUUGUUUUAUUCAUAUGUUAAAAUUUAUUUUAUUUAUUUAUUUGUUUAUUUAUUUAGGCUGCAUUGGGUCUUCACUGCUGCUCGCAGGCUUUUCUCUAGUUGCAGUGAGCAGGGGCUACUCUUCGUUGAGGAGCGCGGGCUUCUCAUUGUGGUGGCUUCUGUUGUUGCAGAGCAUGGGCUCUGGGCGCAUGGGCUUCAGUAGUUGCG